rnacentral:rRNA from 1 species
CGACGACCGGCGGACGGGUGACGUACGCGUAUGCAACCUACCUAUUGCAGGAAUAUAGCGCGAGGAAACUCGGAUUAAUAUUCCAUAAUAUCAUUUUUACACAUGUAUUAAUGAUUAAAGCUACGGCGGCAAUAGAUGGGCAUGCGUACCAUUAGCUAGUUGGUGAGGUAACGGCUCACCAAGGUUACGAUGGUUAGGGGGUCUUAAAGGAUGAUCCCCCACACUGGUACUGAGACACGGACCAGACUCCGACGGGAGGCAGCAGUGAGGAAUAUUGGGCAAUGGACGCAAGUCUGACCCAUUUAUGCCGCGUGCAGGAUGACUGCUCUAGUAGUUGUAAACUGCUUUUCUAUUUCAUGAACCCCUCUGACGUGUCAGGGGCUGACAGUAGAAUAGGAAUAAGCAUCGACUAACUCCGUGCCAGCAGCCGCGGUAAUACGGAGGAUGCAAGCGUUAUCCGGAUUUACUAGGUUUAAAGGGUGCGUAGGCGGGGUAUCAAGUCGGUGGUGAAAUCCUGCAGCUCAACUGUAGAACUGCCAUUGAAACUGAUAUUCUUGAGUAUAGUUGAGGUAGGCGGAAUGUGUUAAGUAGCGGUGAAAUGCAUAGAGAUAACACAGAACACCGAUUGCGAAGGCAGCUUACUAAACUAUUACUGACGCUGAGGUACGAAAGCGUGGGGAGCGAACAGGAUUAGAUACCCUGGUAGUCCACGCCGUANACGUUGAUCACUAGUUGUUUGCGAUACAUUGUGAGCGACUGAACAAAAGCAUUAAGUGAUCCA